rnacentral:rRNA from 1 species
UCUCCUACGGGGGGCAGCAGUCGGGAAUAUUGCGCAAUGGAGGCAACUCUGACGCAGUGACGCCGCGUAUAGGAAGAAGGUUUUCGGAUUGUAAACUAUUGUCCUCAGGGAAGAAAAAAGACUGUACCUGAGUAAGAAGCACCGGCUAAAUACGUGCCAGCAGCCGCGGUAAUACGUAUGGUGCAAGCGUUAUCCGGAUUUACUGGGUGUAAAGGGAGCGCAGGCGGUGCGGCAAGUCUGAUGUGAAAGCCCGGGGCUCAACCCCGGGACUGCAUUGGAAACUACCGAACUAGAGUGUCGGAGAG